rnacentral:rRNA from 1 species
UACGUAGGGUGCAAGCGUUGUCCGGAAUUAUUGGGCGUAAAGAGCUCGUAGGCGGUCUGUCACGUCGGCUGUGAAAACCCGAGGCUCAACCUCGGGCCUGCAGUCGAUACGGGCAAACUAGAGUACUGCAGGGGGAGACUGGAAUUCCUGGUGUAGCGGUGAAAUGCGCAGAUAUCAGGAGGAACACCGGUGGCGAAGGCGGGGUCUCUGGGCAGUAACUGACGCUGGAGGAGCGAAAGCGUGGGGAGCGAACAGG